UUGUGCAGUUAUGUUAGGACAUGGAUAAAAGUGGGAGUUUUCAUGGAAAACAUGGAAUUGUCUGGAUGACCCCAAACUUUUGAAUGGUAGCGUAGGCCAACUUUAAAUUAAAUUUAGAUAAAUUUAGUUUAAAUUUAGAGCAACCUGAAAUAGUACAGAGCAACUUUAAUUAAUAUGGAGCAACUUUAAUUUUUGAGCAACUUUAGCAUAGAGCAACUCUAACAAUAUGACUAAUAUAGGGCAAUUUUAACUCUUUUAGAGUAACUAAUGUAGAACAACUUUAAUUUUUGAGCAACAUUAACUAACAAUAUCUACUUUAGUUAAUAUGGGGCAACUUUAACUCAUUUAGAGCAACUUCAAAUAAUAUAGAGCAACUUUAAUACUAUCAACUUUAGCUGAUAUAGGACAACUUUAAUGUGGAGCAACUUUAAAUAAUAUAAAGCAACUUUAACUCCUUUAGAGCACCUUUGAUAUGGAGCAACUUUAAUUUCUGAGCAACUUUAAAUGAUGUAGAGCAACUUUAACGUAGAGUAACUUUAAUACAGAGCAACUCUAACGAUAUCAACUUUAAUAUACGGCAACUUUAAUACGGAGCAGCUAUUUUUGAGCAACUUUAACUCCUUUAGAGCAACUUUAAUUCAUUCUGAGCAAUUUUAAUAUAAAUCAACUUUAAUGUAGAGCAACUUUAACUCAUUUAGAACAACUUUAAUAUGGAGCAACUUCAAUAAUAUCAACUUUAGCUAAUAUAGGUCAACUGAUGCCACUGUGUGUGUGUGAGUCCUUUAAUAACAGCAGCAACCUUUGUUCAUUCCAAAAGUUGACGGAUCGAGCAUAAGAUUGACUGUUUCUGAGAACAACUGUGAGUUCUGUGGUACUAAAUAGAGAAGUGAGUGAGUUCUGGGGGCUGUGGACGAUACUGCCUACUCGAUGUGAAGAGGAAGUCACACAAACAGGUAGAGUUAAAACAGCCGUGGUGUGAAAUUAUCCACAGUUAAGGGUGAACAUGUCGGCAGACGGGACCAAGUUAUUAUUCGAGGGCUUUCUGCAGAAAAGAAAGGACACUCUGAAGAUAAUGUGGGUCACUUAUUGGUUCAGACUCCAGAACACCACCUUGUUCUUCUACACUAAGAAGAACGGCAGUGCUUUGCACCUGAGAGGAUAUUACUACAUCUACACAGUGCAGUCAGUGAGAGAAGUCCAGAAAGCUGACAGACAGCGCUUCAUGUUUGAAAUCAUCAUGACGAGUGGAAAAAGAAAAGUGUUGGCAGCAGAGACAGCAGCUCUGAGGAAGGAAUGGGUCAGGACACCUCUGGAGAGCCAUGAACCUGUCCACCAGCAGCUCAGUCUCUCACCUCCAGAUGUGCGAGCAGCAGCCAGACAGAAGACACAGCAGCAGGACACCUGUCAGUGUGAUCGAGCUGCUUCCUGCUCGGCCUCUUUCUGCUCCUCCACCUUCAGACCACCUCCAGCCUGAAGCCAGAAGCAUCAAACCUGCCGUGGACCAGCCUGAGGAGCAGAGCGGAGAGGAGGAGGCCAUCUACCAGAACACACUGUUGGCCUGCAGCUACCAGGACCACAGCGAUGAUCCUCAGAGGUGCAGUGAGCUGAACGAUGCAGAGAGCAGUCUAGAAGGAGACUAUGACGUUUUACCCGUUAGAAACAGUAAGAUCUCAAGUAUGCAUUCAGUAAUUAGCAGUUUUCUGUCACCAUGCACUGACUCUGGUGUGUGAUUUAUCUUUAGAAAUAUGUGAGGCGAGCAUUUCAGCAGAGAUGGAUGAGAACAUCUAUGACUUCCCUCAGUCCUACAGGACUUCAGCUCAAUGUCAGGGUGAGAUAGAGUUUACACUUAUGAAGAGCUGGUUAUAUUGAAAUUAUAAACAUGUUUUCUGCGGUUUUGUCGAUUUCAGACCUCACAGAGAGCAUCUAUGACGUACCGAGCUCUCUUCUGAGGAAGAUGCCUGAAGACAAAACAGAUGAGCAGCUGGAGGAAGAAUCGAGCUGGAAGGUGUCGUUUGAGGACAGCAGCAGCACAUUUAGCUCACAAUGCAUUUAACUC